CCCGCCGGCCUCCACCGCUCCCGCCCCGCGGCGCGGCUCCCGCGGUGAUAAAGUGCAGGGAACUUUCCUUGACUCAAAGAAAUGUUUCAUCCUCCAUGACAGCAUUGAUACUGGAGAACUCAAGUCAGUCAGUGACUUGUUUCCAGUCAUACAGCCUGUGGAACCUCUUCACCUCAGUGUCUGACCCCUCCCCUCCUGCACCUCACUAACAGCCUCUGCCCCCAGCACCUCGUCCAAGCUUCAGAACUCGAGGCAUCUUCAAAUUUCUGCUCAGCCUGUGUUCUGCCCGUGAAUCGUCCAUGGAACUGGGACAUGAUCCCUGCCAUCGACUCUUCAGGACUCAAAAGAUGAGAGAUCUCAGGAGCAUCCUGAGCCACUGAGUUUGUUGCUGCUGUUUUUUGAACCGGAAUUAUGGCACUGAUCAGGGGACAGGUGUGGAGACGGGUGUUUAUAUAAUCCUAAAUGGAUCUCUUUGCAUUUCCGCUCGCAAUUUGGUCUUUUAUAAGAAUCACCGGGCCAUGAUGACAAGGGCAUAACAAAUGUAAAUACAGCCAAAAGCAUUGUUUGGUGUGCAGCAAACCUUUGCUUUAAUACAAACCCAAGGAAGAAUGCAUUCACUGUAGUAACUGUGAUUUGCCAGAGCUAAUGAACCUGACUCAACUCUUCAGUUUGAUUUGUCUUUUUAAGUACUUGGAAGCUGGGGACCUUAUGACCUCUCAGGGAAAUUAAAACUCUUAAAGCUCUCAUGUCUGGACUUUUCUGUCAUAACAAUGUUGUCAUUGAGCUAUUGCUCUUUCUCUUACAGGCCAAAAUUAAACUCCAAAGCCAAUAAGA